CUUUCAGGAGGCCAGUACAGCACCUUCUUCUAAAAAGGUAGAAAAACCAAAAAAGAGUGAGCCUGCAUCUAGCAAUGAUACUUUAGAAGAUGUUAGGUGGAAGAGACUAAAUGAACUCAAACGUUGCCCAUAUGCCUGAAGAAAUUUGAAAAAUUAGUCCCUCACAUCAAAUCUUGUGCCACUAAGCAAAGUAUCUCAACGGACCAACUGUUCAAAGCAAUAGAUUGCAACUGAAAAAAAUGAAGAAAGAGCUGCGCUUGGUUUUCUCUCUUCCCAAACUGUCAGGCCAACAACUCGCAGAACAACUUCAGCAUCGAAGGGUUCAAAAGAUGUCAGUUUGGAGCUGGCACUUGCUCUUUCAAUAUCAUUGCAAGAAUCAAAAAUGAGAACAUAAUGAAAGAAUCAGAGGCCUUAAUGGAAAUGGGUUUUGAAGCUGAGGCUUUGGAGCAAAGAAAGGUCCUAGAACAGUUCUCUCUUCCAGAAGUUGUUGUACAGACUGCACCAAAAUCUUCUAAGUCUGUCUCUGGUGAAAAGAAGAAGCUACAGUCAAAACUGUUCACAAGAAGUAAAGAAGAUCAAGAACGGAUUUUAGCGGACAAGGUUGCCAACAUUCUAAUGUCAAAUGAUAGCCCUGUGGACUUAAGACUUGAAUCUCCUGAAAAUGUUAAAUCCAAGAUCCAGUCUAAAUUCAAGCUAAAUCCAAGAACUUAUGGCAGCUUUCCACUGAAGAAAUUGAGUCGAGCGAUCUAUUUUAUGUCCCUAAUCUAUCUGACUCUAUAGCUCCAAGUUCUGGAAACAUUAUGAGCGCCUUAAAUCCAAAGCUCCUAUCCAAGAAUCUGAUUCUCCGGUGAGUUAGAAGUUCUCUUCUUUAGCCUCAUUUUGUUUUCCUAUUGAAUUCUAGAUGUUUUUUAGUUUUUCUUUCUCCUUCUUUGAAAAAAUCUUUAUAAUAUCAAUUUCCCAUCUAGCAGAUCCAAAGCUUACCCUUAUGUGUGAUCCUGAAUCAAAUAGCUUGCUUGGAAAACUGCCCACUUUUAUCACCAUGAUCUAGUUGUCCCUUUUUGUAAAGAAUAUUGGCCAAUAUAUUGGAUAGAAGUGCCUUACUAUUUCAUAUUCCACCCAUAAUAGAAAGCAUUGAAUAAUUAGUCUAUGAAUUUCCUCACUGGUUUUCUUUUUAUCGAAGAGUAUGUGUGAGGAAGAACUAAAACGUUGCAACAGA
rnacentral:lncRNA from 1 species